rnacentral:rRNA from 1 species
UACGGGGGGGGCAAGCGUUGUUCGGAAUUACUGGGCGUAAAGGGCUCGUAGGCGGCCAACUAAGUCGGACGUGAAAUCCCCAGGCUCAACCUGGGAACUGCGUCCGAUACUGGCAGGCUUGAAUCCGGGAGAGGGAUGUGGAAUUCCAGGUGUAGCGGUGAAAUGCGCAGAUAUCGGGAGGAACACCAAUGGCGAAGGCAGCUCGCUGGGACGGUACUGACGCUGAGACGCGAAAGCGUGGGGAGCAAACAGG